rnacentral:lncRNA from 1 species
GAGAAUAUAUAUGCAAUAAAUUUUAUAAAGACUGAUUGUAAAUUGGUGUUUUUACAAUAUUCAAUAUGAAUGUCAACUCUACAAUUUAAGAGAAAAUUAAGGAGAUUUGAUUAUGUAAGUUGGGUCUUGGCUUGAGUCUUGGGGGAGGUGUCUCUUUCAAGUCUAAGCCAGCUCCUUGGGCUCAAUAUGCUAGAAUCUUGACUGCUAAAGAUUUCCCAACUUUGGUUUCCAAGUCUCCUUCUUCAUCAUCUUCUGAUGUCACUAAAGCUGCUAAUAAUAAUAACAAUAAUAUCUCCUCAGCUGGUUCCAAGAGAAUUGCUGCUGAGUCUGUUUCACCCCCCAGCGGCACCACAAGGUAUAUUAAUUUUUUUUCUUAGAAAACCCUUUUUUUUAUUUGUUGGUUUGGUUUUAAAUUUCUUAUAUGCACUAUUUGUUUCAAUAUUUUGUUGUUCAUUUCAGCUGUUUUCUUAUCCUGCUACAUAUCUGUGCUUGUGUGGGUAUUUGUGUUCAAGUGAUUAUGUGUUUUUAGUUUGUAGAUUUUGAUGAACUUAUUUUUUUUUUCUUUCUAACAUUUCAAUUCCCUAUAGUUGGUUUUCCUGGAAUCUGAUUCCUAAGGUAAAAUGUUAUGUUACCUUCUCUGUUUUGCUUUUUUCUUUAUUUUGUCCUAACUGAUCUCUACUGCCUAGCUAUCAAAUGAUAACCAUAUAAUAAACAUGAAAAAUUCUUUACAAAGGAGGUUUUAAUUGUACAUGUUGGGUCAAAUUUAGGAGACGAUCAGUUAUUCCUGCUUAUCUUUUGUUAUUUUUGAUAUAUAACACAGCCAAAAAGAGCAUUUAAACAGGGGCUUAUAAAAAUGUCCCGUCACCAGAGAUUUUCAUUGAAUCCAAUUUGAUUCAAACUUCAUAAAAUUGAUUUUAAACUCAGUUUGAUUUACCUAACCAACUUGGGUUACAUCAUAACACAUCUAUAAAUAUUACCUAGUCCUAAUCAUUGAGUAAUUUUCAAUUUUUACACAUCUUAACCUCUUUGGGACAAAUUUUCAAACACCCUAAGGGCAUAGCCUAUACUUUCAGAAUUCAUAGAGGUUUAGGCAUGGUUCUAGCCAAAAAAAUUCCAUAGAAGUACUUCACAACACAUAGUUUCCCGACCAAACACAUCAAUUUCAGAAUAACAAACAUUAUGUAAACUUUUAAUUUCCAUAAAAUUAACCAAAUACAUGGCUUACCUUACAAAAGAUUAGUUUGAUGUAGUCUUAGCUUGAUAACCAGUCUAUGAAAUCUUUCUUUACUGCUGCUGAUCUUAAUCCCUUCCCACGUUAGCUUGCAACUUCAAUUCUUUAAUGCCUUCAUUAGUUCCAACCGAAAUUAAGAGGAUUUUGAUAAAAGUUUGGGAGUUGUGGAAACUUGACAAUUAGAUCUAACAAAACCCACAAAAAUCUAACAAAACCUUAACAGCACAAAGGGUUUUUAAAAAAAAAUCAACAAAGAUUUGAAGAAGAAGCAAGCAAAAGGGAAUGAAGAAGAAACCCUUGGUUCCGUGUUUUAGGGUGGAGAGAAUGAAGAAGAAGAAGAAGAAGAAGAAGAAUGAAGAAGAAUCCAGCAAAAAUCAACAAAAAUUUGAAUAUUUGAAGAAGAAGCAAGCAAGAAAUCAAUAGAGGUGGAGAGAAUGAAGAAAAAGCG